GCGGGUGUAGCUCAGUUGGUAGAGCGCUGGUUUGUGGUACCAGUUGUCGUCGGUUCGAGCCCGGUCACCCGCCCCA
rnacentral:tRNA from 1 species